rnacentral:tRNA from 1 species
AGUUUAUUAACUUAUUUAAGUUUAUGUUUUGAAAACAUAAAAAAGAAAUUUAAUUUUCUAUAAACUU